rnacentral:rRNA from 1 species
GACGAACGCUGGCGGCGUGCUUAACACAUGCAAGUCGAACGGGCCUGUCUUCUUUUUUGGGGGUGGGUUGAGUGGCGAACGGGUGAGUAUCACGUGAGUAACCUGCCCUUCGGUCCUGGAUAACCGCUUGAAAGGGCGGCUAAUACGGGGUGGUCCGGUUGGUCCGCAUGGGCUGGUCGGGAUAGAUUCACUGUUUUUGGUGUUUCGGCGGGGGAUGGGCUCGCGGCCUAUCAGCUUGUUGGUGGGGUGAUGGCCUACCAAGGCGGUGACGGGUAGCCGGCCUGAGAGGGUGGGCGGCCACACUGGGACUGAGAUACGGCCCAGACUCCUGCGGGAGGCAGCAGUGGGGGGUAUUGCACAAUGGGCGGAAGCCUGAUGUAGCGACGUCGCGUGAGGGAUGGAGGCCUUCGGGUUGUGAACCUCUGUUUCCGGUGGUGAAGGCCCUGUCCGUGUGGUGGGGUUGACGGUAGCCGGGGAUGAAGCGCCGGCUAACUACGUG